GGACCGGGCAGGAGCCGGCCUCUGCGGAUCCAGUCCCCACGGCAACGGCCACAGCACCUGCUGCGGCCCAGGCUCGGGUCAAAGCCCCGAGGCAAGACACUGUGCUGAAUCCUCUCUACCUUACAGGGGACACUGGGCUCAGAGAGGUCAGGCCACUUGCCCAAGGCCACACAGGCUGGCAGUAACAAAGGAAGGACGGAUAUGAACGCAGGCCUCCCGUCCCCAAAUCCGGCCUGGGAUAUGCUGUGUGGCUGGUAUUCAGCAGGCGAUCUACAAAUGCUUUGGAGAUGCCCAGGAGCAAAGUGAGUGGAGACGGGCCUGUGGCCAGGUGGAUCGGCGGUCAGUGCCCCAGGGGAGGCCAGGGCUCGGCCCCCCCCCCACAGGAAGCGGGCUACAGGGGCCAGGCGCUGGGAGGGGACAGCUGGCUCCGGCCUCUUCCUCCUGUGACGAGGCGGGCGGGCCUGCAGGAGCCCACGGCGGGCAGGCAGCCAGGGUUGACGGGGCCACCCCACCUGUCACCCGGGACGUGCUCAUCAGGAGCUUGGGGACCUGGGACCACAGAGGCGGGUGGCGGGGGCGGCAGUGCCUGGCCCCCGUCACGUGAGCCCUGGUACCCACGGUCCCUGCUUCAGGGACACCGCCCGAGGUCCAGCCUGUGCUUGCAGAGUGACCACGGGACCCGGGCUCCGCCAGGCCUGCUGGCCCGCUCUGCUCCUCGCUGACCGUGUGGCCUCAAGCACGCCACUGCCCUCCAGAGCCUCGGGCUCCCAUCGCUGAGGUCAGGGUGCUGCCCUGGGCCGCAGUGCGCAGCGGGGACUCUGGAUUCUAAGCCACCCGCGUCCUGUGCUGUGUGGCCCCCGACAAGCAGCUUCGCCUCUCUGGUCUGCUCCCUUCAUCUGUUAAAGGCUCCGUGUUGACUGGAGUGAACCACCAGGUGACCCGGCUACCCCUCUCCUCGGGCCACACCCAGAGGACUUAAGGACAGCACACUGCAGGGACGCAGCCACGUCGACGUCCACACAGCCCGAUCCGCGAGAGCCGAACUGUGGAAGAACCUGGGGCCCUCAGUGACGGAAAGACACUGCGGUGUCUGCACACAGAGGACGUCACUCAGCACGGAGAGGGGACAGCGUGGCACUCGAGGUCAACGGAUGGCCCUGGAGAAGACCAUGGAGGUGCAGUGAGCCAACCCCAAACCAAAG
rnacentral:lncRNA from 1 species